GUCACAUCACGUUGAAAUGCCGGUCCUUGUAUGAUCACCGAAGUUAAGCAACAAUGAGCCUGGUCAGUACCUAGAUGGGUGACCAUUUGGGAAUACCAGGUGCUGUAAG